rfam:Helobdella robusta unplaced genomic scaffold HELROscaffold_154, whole genome shotgun sequence.
GUCUACGGCCAUAUCACGUUGAAAACACCGGUUAUCGUCCGAUCACGGAGGUUAAGCAACGUCGAGCCCGGUUAGUACUUGGAUGGGUGACCGCCUGGGAAUACCGGGUGCUGUAGGCU